CUGAGCAGGUAGUGGCUUCCAACUCGUCUUGCCUGGAGUUUUCUUCCUACUUCCCCCAGUGUCAUCAUGGGCUGGAGUUUUCCCUUUUUCAGCAGUCUUGAGUGCCUGGCGCAAGAUCUCACCUUCAUCGUUGUCAGUGCCUGCCAGGGCUUUGCCCUUAUCAAUAAGUUCGCGUGCUUGACGCAAGACUUCUUCUAAUUGUUUCAUGGCCGCACUGUAAAUGGGGUCCUCUUCCCCUGGUGGAGGUGGCUGUAUCGGGGGUGUACCGACUGGUGAUUGGGGUGGUGGCG
rnacentral:lncRNA from 1 species